rnacentral:lncRNA from 1 species
GACAAUAUUGACUCCUUGAGGAUUAAACUUACAAAAGAGGAUCUGAAAGAAAUUUCUGACGCUGUGCCCAUAGAAGAGGUAGCAGGAAACAGAGACCCGGAAGGCUUUGAUAAAGCAUCGUGGAAGUUUGCAAACACACCUCCAAAAGACUGCAAGGUUUGAACUUAAAAUAGUUCUGGAUGCUGCCUAUCUUACUUGGGGCUGGGAUGCAAUACUUUAUUCAAAUAAUGGCAGAUAAAUGCCAAAUUAUCUGUACAAUCUACUACUUGGCUAUCUGCCUAUUUGAUGUUAAACUUUGAUUAUUACGAUCUACUAUAUGUUUGGAAAUUUAGCAUGGCCAAUUUGUGAAAGGAAAAUACGCAUGUUUGAACUUUUCUAAGUUAAAGCUGAAUUCCAAGUUACUAUAAAAUCUUGCCAACUUGCUUUCCUUGAAAAUAAAGAUUAGAAAUAUCCAAAUUUUGGAUUGUAAUGAUUUUCCUGGAUUUUACUUCAUCAUAGUGUAGAUAUAUGUUGAAAUAUUUUCAGCCUUUUUGAGUUCCACGAAUGUGACAUGAAUGAAAUCUGUGAACCAUAUUUUAGCUCAAGCUGUUUCUCAACAAGACCUGGAGGACACUGGAUUGAAAAUAUAGUUUCUCAACAUACUACAUUGUCACUGCAACUUGAGUGGUUAAAUGAUAAAAGGUGAGUAUGUGUUGUUCAGAAAUAAGAAUAAUUGCAUAAAUUGUGAAGUUCACAAUACCAUUCAGGAGGCUAAAUUGACACAUUAAAAAACUUUCAAAUUCCUUCACCAACAAGGCACCAGUGGUCUUGUGGUAGAAUAAUACCCUGCCACGUAACAGACCCAGGUAUAGUAAUUAGCCCCACCUUCGAAUAAUUUUUAUUGUUGCCUUCUUUUGAUUAGUUCCAAAUCCUGCUUUAUUUUGUUAGUCCAUGGUACAAAGUACAAAACAGCAACACCAUUAACUCUCUUACGCCCUCCUUUAAUAAGAGUUAAGCUAAGCUACAAAGAGAGGAAAAGCUAACAGCUUUUCCAAAGAUGGCAGAAAAGAACAGAAUCCAAGUUCCAAGAGUGAAAUUUGGAUUUCCGAUUUGUAGUUUUCAUUUUUCUUUUUGUAUUUUUUUCCUUCAAUGCUGAUAAUUUGUUUUCUCUGACUGUGUUUUUGUGCUUUCACAGGUUUCAAAGCUGGGGUUUGGAUGCAUGAGCCUGAGCGGAGGUUACAAUUCUCGGGUCUCUGAAGAGGAUGGCAUCUCAAUAAUGAAGCAUGCUUUCAACAAAGGAAUCACUUUCUUUGAUACUGCUGAUAGAUAUGGACCAUAUAUACUAAUGAAAUUCUUCUUAGAAAGGUAAUGAUUAAGAAAAUGGAAUAAAAUGAAGUUAUCUUAUCAUGGAAUAACAUUUUAAAAGAAAAUCCAAAAUACAAAUAGGUUAUGUUUAUGCCAAAAAUUUAAAUAAAAAAAUAUAAAUUAGUAAUUAAAUUAACUUAACAAGGAUGAUGUUGCCGUAUUACACACAAAAAUAUAUUUUAUUUUGAUGAAUACUUAACGUUUGUAAAAUAAAUUAAAUUAAUUAGGAGUAAUAUGGACUUCUUAUUAUAAAAUAGCUUAAAUUGUUAGGGUAAGAGUUGAUUGUAGCAUUAUUAAAUUUAAAGGAGUAAGUAGUAUUUCUAACUUAUACUUGAGGAAGGAAUCUGUAAUUUUUCCAUGCAAAUAAGAAAUAUGUUUGUUUAAGGUAAUGGUAAAUAGCUACUCUUAGACAUUACUAAGAAAAUCAUAAGGUGGAAAUCAAAUCAUUGUUAAAAUUAUGUCAAUUUAUUUGGGGGGGAAAAAGUUCACUCCUUUCUAGUUUCUAGCCUUGAAGCAGUUGCCUAGGUUACAAGAUCAGCCACAAAGUUUGGGAUUACAGAAAUAGAUACCCCUGAGUAUGUACUCUGUUUUGUCGUGAAGCAAGCUUGAAGCACCUUGAUUUGAUUAUUAAUUGGUUUGACUUUCCUCUAAUCUUUUGGGUAAUUUCUAUAUAUGCUUUCACUAAAAACAAAUAAAUUUGCAAAGAAUACAUACAUAGAUAACUUUCUUUCAAAAUUAAAAAAAAAAAAAAAAAUGACCAACAAAGUGUUGGCUCCACUGGCAAUGGAGUUCCCUUAAGUGGCUUGACUGGGUUUGCUCCCCAGUUCGAGUCGCAGGGAAGUCGCCUUUGUUGGGAGAAUCUGUGCCUCCCGGUUCGAGCGGGGACUUCUAGUCUGAGUUGUGGUACGGGCUUAAAGGUGCCUCCCACAGUUGGGGCCCUCCCCAGGAUACCUCGUGAUUAAUAUAAAAAAAAAUGACAAGGAGAAAUUAUGAAUAUGAUGAUUCUUUAAAUAAAAAAUUUUACUGAUUUUCUAACAGCACAAAAUGCUUGAGAGGAAGAGAUUCUCAUAAAUCAAAUGUGAAAGGAUUAUGUUACCAUAAUAUAAAUAUGAAAAUGAAUUUUUCAUUUCUACUUAGAGCCUUGGGCCCAAACAAUUUUUUUUUUUCAAGUAUAAUACUUGAAUAGUUACAACAAAUGAUCGGACUAAUGACAUACACAAUACUUGAAUUUUCAGUAUAGAUUUAUAUUGAUGCAACAAAAUUGAUUCUCAUCUUCAUAGGCUAAGAAAUACAAAUCCAUUACUCAACUAAAAUUAUGGCGCAGAAGUUUUUGUUUUUGUUAAGGUUAAAAAAUGAGCAUAAAAGUAUACAUUUAACUGAUAAAUAAUUAGAAAAUUGAUAAAAUUAUUAAUUUUUUUUAGAAAAUUGAUUGAACUAGUCUGCAACAUUAAGUUUCAACAUAUCGUCCAAGGAUAGCCUAGCCAAGUUGGUAGCAAGAGAUUAAAUGUUCCAAUUUAAGGGGAUAUUCAUAGAUGUAAUCUGAAACAAAAAUGAAAUAAAAGUAAAAAUAAGCAAAUAAUGAAGUAAAAUCAUAAUCGAAUAAGAAUGCUAAGUUUUUAAAGAGGAGAGAAAUUACAAGUUAAGAUACGUUCAAAUUUCUUUGCAAACACACCCCUAAAAGAUUGCUAGGUUUGAACUCAAAAUAUUUCUUGAUGCUGCCUUAGUAGCUAUCUAACGCUUGGGGUCGGGAUCAAUACUUUAUUCAAAUAAAUGCUAAAUUAUCAAUAAAUUCUACUACAUGACUCUCUGCCUAUUGGAUGGAAAUUUGUAAAUUUAAUUCUGCCGAUUUUGUGAACUGAAAUUAUCUUUCGUUGUUAACUAGAAGUUAUAGCCUCAAGUUGCAAUAAAAUUUUGGCAAAUAGAGAUUGCAAAAUCCACCAGGAAAAUGCAGGGUGGCUUUUAUGUAUUUUAAUUCAGAUUGCUAUGUUGUUGCUACAUAACUGCCAUGUACCGAAUCAAAUGUAAACGCUUAAGGCUAUUUCUAGUAAAUAAUCUCCUAAAUUAAAAGAUGAAUUUGUUCCUACCUCCUUUUGGAGUUUUGGGUUCUGAUGCAGUGACUAUUCAAAUAUUGUUCUAAAAAGUUUAGAUACUUGACAUUCAAACUAUUAUGAAUAGUUAAUGGUCUUUACAUUGCUUGUAUUAUGAGGUCGGCAUGAGCCCUCAAUCAAAGAAGACACAAAGCCAUUGCAUUUGCAUUCAAGGGUAACAUAGGAGCCUAAAAUUUGCCACAAGAACAAAUAGAAACUACGGAAUAUACACUAUUGUGUUCAAAUUUCGUUCAAUUAAAAUAACGUCGUGGCACAUAUAUAAUUUAUGUUAUUAGAGAAAGUUUUUUAUGACACUAACGUACCAUGUUAUCAUACGUUUAUGCAAUAGAAUUGUAAUAUAUAUCCAUUUUGAAGUUGACCAACCAUGAAAGUGAGAGGAAACAAAAUUAAAACUUGGUGACACAAUAUAUUAUAUGGUCAAAUCGAGACUGUAAAUUUCUCUCCUAAGUUCUAACUGACAUUUUGCAAAGUCUAGGGGAUAUUUCUUAACUUUUAAAAUAUUUUGAACUUGUUUCCAAUUACACUGAACUUUGGGACACUUGUCAAAACUUUAUAAGUUCAUGAUUAAUCAUGAUAAAGAUAAAGAGCACGUGUCCCAGCUUAACACUUUUAGUCAUACGGAGCCUUCGACUUGGAGCCAAACCAGAAUCCUCUGUCUCAUUCUGCUCAUUGUUGACGUUAGAGUCAACUGUCUCUCUACUUAUUGAAACUUGAAAGACACCCAAAACAAAGAAACCAAAACUACAGCUUCAAAAAUGGCAGAAGAGAAACUCCAAGUUCCAAGAGUGAAACUUGGUACCCAAGGCCUCGAGGUAAACUACCCAUAUGUAAUUUUUUUUUUAAAAUCAAAUCCUGGAAAUUUGUUUUCUACAAUUGUGUGUUUUUCACGCUCUUACAGGUUUCAAAGUUGGGGCUUGGAUGCAUGAACCUGAGUUCUGGUUAUAGCUCUCCAGUCUCAGAAGAGGAUGGCAUCUCAAUGAUAAAACAUGCUUUCAGUAAAGGAAUCACUUUCUUUGAUACUGCUGAUGUGUACGGACAAAAUGCUAAUGAAAUUCUUCUGGGAAAGGUUAGAGUCAUUUCUUUGAAUUCUCUUACCUCUUAUAUAAUUCGGACAUAGGUCAAGUGAUAACUUAAGAAUCACAGUCCUGAUGAAAUAUGUUUGUUUAGGAAUUGGUGAAACCUCGUCGGAUUUUUUUGAAUCUUAUUGAAUUAAAAAAAAAAAAAAAAAGAGUACUCCUUCGAUUUCAGGCCUUCAAGAUGUUGCCCAGAGAAAAGGUACAAAUAGCCACAAAGUUUGGGGUUGUAGGACUAAGAGAUAAUGGCGUGAUCGUGAAGGGCACCCCUGAUUACGUGCGCUUGUGUUGUGAAGCUAGCCUGAAGCGACUUGAUGUGGAUUACAUUGAUCUAUAUUAUCAACAUAGAGUGGACACAUCAGUCCCCAUAGAGGAAACCGUGAGCGAUUUUUUUUUUUUUUUUUUUUUUUUUUUGGGCUAUCUGAAUUGUAGAGUUCUGUCCCAAAUUGCAAAAUUUAAAGAAUUAUUUUAGAAACUCUAUUACUUGUCAUGCUAUAGAUUGGUGAAAUGAAGAAGCUGGUGGAAGAGGGUAAAAUCAAGUACAUUGGAUUAUCUGAGGCCAGCCCAGACACAAUUAGGAGAGCACAUGCUGUUCAUCCCAUCACAGCUGUACAAAUGGAAUGGUCCCUCUGGACUCGUGAUAUUGAGGAAGAGAUAAUACCCCUCUGCAGGUUUGUUCUUCUUUCAGUGAAUACUAUCCGCAUUAGUCUUUUCUUCUACAGGCCUUUGAAGAGUGUCUAAGGACCUAUUUAUUUGUUCCAAUCUAGUAUUUUGUACCUAAUGUUUGUAGAAUUUUUUAAAUUUAAUUGCAUGCAUAGAGUAGAUUAGAUUUUCUGUGCAAGUGUAUGCUAAUAAAUACAAGGCUGCCCUUCUGAUACAUUGAGGUGGGCAGGGAACUCGGCAUUGGAAUAGUUCCAUACAGUCCUCUUGGUCAUGGAUUUUUUGGUGGCAAAGCUGUUGUGGAGAGUGUACCUGCAGAUAGCUUUUUGGUACUUUUUCCGAUCAAUGUUUAUCCGCAUCAUUUUGUUUCCUAAGUCAGUACUAUAUAAAAUGUUUUAAACUAGCAAAAGUAGUCUUACAGUUUCUUUAACUGUUUUAUAUAUCGUCGUACAUAUGAAAAUGAUACAUGUAUUUGUUUUAUAAGCAUUUUCUUCCUAGGUUCAAAGGAGAGAACCUGGACAGGAACAAGAGUAUUUAUUUUCGCAUAGAGAACCUUGCCAAAAAGUACAAUUGCACUUCUGCUCAACUAGCCCUAGCAUGGGUUCUUGGACAGGGGGAUGAUGUCGUACCUAUUCCCGGUAACUUCUUUCUUUCGAGUUUUUGAUUCAUGUAUUACCUUGAAGAAGUAUAUAGAGUUUAAAAAACCCAGCGGAUAAAAAGAUAUUACCAGCAAUAUUACUUACUGUUAAGUUGCUUCAAUUUUCAGGGACAACUAAGAUUAAAAACCUUGAUGACAAUAGUGACUCCUUGAGGAUUAAACUUACAAAAGAGGAUCUGAAAGAAAUUUCUGACGCUGUGCCCAUAGAAGAGGUAGCAGGAGACAGAGACCCGGAAGGCUUUGAUAAAGCAUCGUGGAAGUUUGCAAACACACCUCCAAAAGACUGCUAGGUUUCAACUUAAAAUAGUUCUUGAUGCUGCCUAUCUUACUUGGAGCUGGGAUACAAUAGUUUAUUCAAAUAAUGGCAGAUAAAUGCCAAAUUAUCUGUACAAUCUACUACUUGGCUAUCUGCCUAUUUGAUGUUAAACUUUGAUUAUUACGAUCUACUAUAUGUUUGGAAAUUUAGCAUGGCCAAUUUGUGAAAUGAAAAUACGCAUGUUUGAACUUUUCUAAGUUAAAGCUGAAUUCCAAGUUACUAUAAAAUCUUGCCAACUCGCUUUCCUUGAAAAUAAAGAUUGGAAAUAUCCAAAUUUUGGAUUGUAACAAUUUUCCUGGAUUUUACUUCAUCAUUGUAUAGAUAUAUGUUGAAAAAAUUUCAGCCUUUUUGAGUUCCAUGAAUGGGACAUGAAUGAAAUCUAUGAACCAUAUUUUAGCUCAAGCAGUUUCUCAACAAGACCUGGAGGAUACUUUAUUGAAAAUAUAGUUUCUCAACAUAAUACAUUGUCACUGCAACUUGAGUGGUUAAAUGAUAAAAGGUGAAUAUGUGUUGUUCAGAAAUAAGAAUAAUUGCAUAAAUUGUGAAGUUAACAAUGCUAUUUAGGAGGCGAAAUUGACACAUUGAUAAACUUUCAAAUUCCUUUACCAACAAGGCACCAGUGGUCCAGCGGUAGAAUCCCCCCCCCCCCCCCCCCGGCGCGGGUAUGGUAAUCAGCCCCAACGUCGAACAAUUUUUAUUGUUGCCUUCUUUUGAUUAGUUCCAAAUCCUGCUUUAUUUUGUUAGUCCAUGGUACAAAGUACAAAACAGCAACACCAGUAACUCUCUUACGCCCUCCUUUAAUAAGGAUUAAGCUAAGCUACAAAGAGAGGAAAAGCUAACAGCUUUUCCAAAGAUGGCAGAAAAGAACAAAAUCCAAAUUCCAACAGUGAAAUUUGGAUUUCCGAUUUGCAGUUUUAAUUUUUUUCUCUCUGUUUUUUUUUUUCCUUUAAUGCUGAUAAUUCGUUUUCUCUAAUGAUGGUCAGUGGGCCGUGCCGGCACCAAACGUCGGCCCACACAGGCUCGUGGGCUGGCACCGCACGGCCCACUAAUUUGGUGGGUCAUGUUUAUUUUUUUUAUAAGAGUCCGGCACGGCCCACCAGCCUAAUAAUAACAAUAAUAAUAAUAAUAAUAAUUUCAUAGAUCAUAGUAAUAAUUAAUGAAAAAUAAAAUUACAAUUUUAGAAUAACAAUUACAUCUAAUUUUAUUUGAACUACUAAUAUUAUAAUUGCACAUAAACUCUAUUGAAUGAAAAUGUAAUUUUUAAUUUAUCAUAAAAAUAUUUUGUUCAUAAUUUUAUUUUUUUGUGUAUAAAUAUGAAAAAUAUUUCAUUCACAAAUGAAACAUAUCUCCAUUAACUAUUAACUAAGUUAUGAUUUCAUAAAUGAAAUAUUAAUGUCGUAAAAUUUUUUAUUUAUCAUUUAUAAAAUCAUGAUAUUUAUUUAUCCAUUUAAUAAAUUAUAAACAUAAAAAAAAAUUAGAAUAUUUAUUUAAACUAGGACUUAAAUUAAUUUUAAAAAGCCUAUGCUAAAAAAAUAUAUUAAAAAAUUUAAUUUCAAGAUAUUUAUAAAAUCAUGAUAUUUUAUAUUUAUUUUUCAUUAAAAAAUUUUAUUUUGAUAUACUUUGACCCACGGGCCGCGUGCUUAGCCCACUAAUGAAGCGUGCUUAUUACGUGCCUUUUUCGCGUGCCGUGCUUUGGCCCAUAUUUAAUCGUGCUGUGCUUUUAAGACCCGCGUGCCUAAAAUUCUAGGCUCGGCACGACCCACGUGCAUGUCAUGCCGUGCCUCGUGCCCUACCGAAACGUGCUCGUGUUGUGCCGUGUCUUGUGCCACCCGGCCCAUUUGUCAUCUCUAGUUUUCUCUGACUGUGUUUUUUUGCUUUCACAGGUUUCAAAGUUGGGGUUUGAAUGCAUGAGCCUAAGUGGAGGUUACAGUUCUCCCGUCUCUGAAGAGGAUGGCAUCUCAAUAAGAAAGCAUGCUUUCAACAAAGGAAUCACUCUUUUUUUUUUUUAACUAAUUAAGCAUCAGGUUACUGUAUUACAUAGACAUUUACAAUUGCUAUGACAGUAGAUCAUUACACUGAUAUUUACAAUUAAAUAUAUAAUUGGGACUUACAUUAUUACAUUAUUAAUUUUAUGAAAUACAUGCCAAACAAAUAAUCCUUAUGGAAGAACGGUGUCUUUACUCCACUCGCAUUUCAAAAUGGAGAAAUACUUCACAAAUAAUUUUCACAAAAUUAUGUUUAAUUGAGGGAUGUUGAGUUCAUGGGGAUUCGAACCAUUGCCCUCAUAGUUAUGCUUAACUUUAAAGGCCAAUGGUUCACCACUGGGCUAAAGCCCAAGUGGCAGGAACCACUUUCUUUGAUACUGCUUAGUGCUGAUAGAUAUGGACCUUACACUAACGAAAUUCUUCUUAGAAAGUUAAUAAUUAUGAAAAUGGCAUAAAAUGAAAUUAUCUUAUCAUGGAAUAACAUUUUAAAAGAAAAUCCAAAAUCCAAAUAGCUUAUAUUUAUGUUAAAAUUCUAAAUAAAAAAAUCAUAAAUUAGUAACUAAAUUAACUUAAUAAGAAUAACAUUGUCGUAUUACACACAAAAAAAAAAUCAUUUUGAUGAAUAUUUAAUGUUUGUAAAAUAAAUUAAAUUGAUUAGGGCAAUAUGGACUUUUUAUUAUAAAAUAACCUAAAUUGUUAGGGAAAUAAUUAACUGUAGCAUUGUUAAAUUUAAAGGGGUAAGUAGUAUUUCUAACUUAUUGAGUUAUUUCCAUAAUAAUAACCUAAAUAUGUUUGUUUAAGGUUUUGGCAAAUAGCUACUCUUAGACAUUACUAAGAAUAUCUGAAGAUGAAAAUCAAAUCACUGUUAAAAUUACCCCUGAGAAGCCACGAAGUUUGGGACUACAGAAAUAGAUACCCCUGAGUAUGUGCUCUGCCUUGUUGUGAAGCAAGCUUGCAGCACCUUGAUUUGAUUAUUAAUUGGCUUGACUUCCCUCUAAUUUUGGAUAAUUUCUUUAUAUGCUUUUCACUAAAAACAAAUAAAUUUACAAAGAAUACAUGCAUAGAUAACUUUCUUUCAAAUUUAAAAUGAAAAAUAAAUUGCGAAAAGAAAUUGUGAAUCUGAUGAUUCUUUUAAUAAAAAAAUUUACUGAUUAUAUGGUCAAAUCGAGACUGUAAAUUUCUCUCCUAAGUUCUACAUGACAUUUUGCAAAGUUUAGGGGAUAUUUCUUAACUUUUUAAAUAUUUUGAACUUGUUUUCAAUUACACUGAACUUUAGGACACUUGUCAAAACUUAUAAGUUCAUGAUUAAUCAUGAUAAAGAUAAAGAGCACGUGUCCCAGCUUAACACUUUUAGUCAUUCUGCUCAUUGUUGACGUUAGAGUCCACUGUCUCUCUACUUAUUGAAACUUGAAAGACACCCAAAACAAAGAAACCAAAACUACAGCUUCAAAAAUGGCAGAAGAGAAACUCCAAGUUCCAAGAGUGAAACUUGGUACCCAAGGCCUCGAGGUAAACUACCCAUAUGUAAUUUUUUUUUUUUAUCAAAUCCUGGAAAUUUGUUUUUCAUGGUCUUACAGGUUUCAAAGUUGGCGCUUGGAUGCAUGAACCUGAGUUCUGGUUAUAGCUCUCCAGUCUCAGAAGAGGAUGGCAUCUCCAUGAUAAAACAUGCUUUCAGUAAAGGAAUCACUUUCUUUGAUACUGCUGAUGUGUACGGACAAAAUGCUAAUGAAACUCUUCUGGGAAAGGUUAUGGUCAUUUCUUUGAAUUCUCUUACCUCUUAUAUAAUUCAGACAUAGGUCAAGUGGUAACUUAGGAACCACAGUCCUGAUGAAAUAUGUUUGUUUAGGAAUUGGUGAAUAAUUACUUUUGUAUCAUAGAAGGGAAACCUUGUCAGAAUUUUUAGAAUUUUAUUGAAUUAAAAAAAAAAAAAAAGAGUACUCCUUCGAUUUCAGGCCUUCAAGAUGUUGCCCAGAGAAAAGGUACAAAUAGCCACAAAGUUUGGGGUUGUAGGACUAAGAGAUAAUGGCGUGAUCGUGAAGGGCACCCCUGAUUACGUGCGCUCGUGUUGUGAAGCUAGCUUGAAGCGACUUGAUGUGGAUUACAUUGAUUUGUAUUAUCAACAUAGAGUGGACACAUCGGUCCCUAUCGAGGAAACCAUGAGUGAUAUUUUUUCUCCCGGGCUAACUAUCUGAAUCGUAAAGUUCUGUCUUAAAUUACAAUAUUUAAAGAGUUUUUUAGAAACUAUAUUCCUUGUCAUGUUAUAGAUUGGCGAAAUGAAGAAGCUGGUGGAGGAGGGUAAAAUCAAGUACAUUGGUUUGUCUGAGGCUAGCCCAGACACAAUUAGGAGAGCACAUGGUGUUCAUCCCAUCACAGCUGUACAAAUGGAAUGGUCCCUCUGGACUCGUGAUAUCGAGGAAGAGAUAAUACCCCUCUGCAGGUUUGUUCUUCUUUCAGUGAACACUAUCCACAUUAGUCUUCUCUUUUACAGUCCUUUGAAGAGUGUCUAAGGACCUAUUUACCUUUUCCAAUCUAGUAUUUUGUGUCUAAUGUCUGUAGAAUUUUAAAAAAAAUAAUUGCUUGCUUAGAAUAGAUUAGAUUUUCUGUGCAAGUAUAUGCUAAUAUAUACAAGGCUGCUUUUCUUAUACAUUGAAGUGGGCAGGGAACUUGGCAUUGGAAUUGUUCCAUACAGCCCUCUUGGUCGUGGGUUUUUCGGUGGCAAAGCUGUUGUGGAAAGUGUACCCGCAGAUAGCGUUUUGGUACUUUUUUCAUAAAUGUUUAUCCACAUCAAUUUGUUUCCUAUGUAGUGUAUAAAUGUUUUAAAAUAGCAACAGUAGUUUCCAGUUUCCUUUAAUGCUAAUGUUUUAUAUAUCAUAAUACAUAUUAAAAUGAUGCAUAUGUUUGUUUUAUAAGCAUUUUUUUCCUCGGUACAAAGGAGAGAACCUGGACAGGAACAAGAAUAUUUAUUUUCGCAUAGAGAAUCUUGCCAAAAAGUACAAAUGCACUUCUGCUCAACUAGCCCUAGCAUGGGUUCUUGGACAGGGGGAUGAUGUCGUACCUAUUCCUGGUAACUUACUUUCUUUUGAGUUUGUGAUUCAUGUAGUGCCUUGAAGAAGUAUAUAGAGUUUAAAAAACCCAGCUGAUAAAAAUGAUAUUACCAGCAAUGUUACUUACUGUUAAUUUGCUUCAAUUUUCAGGGACAAUAUUGACUCCUUGAGGAUUAAACUUACAAAAGAGGAUGUGAAAGAAAUUUCUGACGCUGUGCCCAUAGAAGAGGUAGCAGGAGACAGAGACCCGGAAGGCUUUGAUAAAGCAUCGUGGAAGUUUGCAAGCACACCUCCAAAAGACUGCAAGGUUUGAACUUGAAAUAGUUCUGGAUGCUGCCUAUCUUACUUGGGGCUGGGAUGCAAUACUUUAUUCAAACAAUGGCAGAUAAAUGCCAAAUUAUCUGUACAAUCUACUACAUGGCUUUCUGCGUAUUUGAUGUUAAACUUUAGUCAUUAUGAUAUACCGUAUGUUUGGAAAUUUAGCAUGGCCAAUUUGUGAAAU